rnacentral:lncRNA from 1 species
UGUCCCAAAAAAAACCUCUCACUCACCAAGAAAAUAAAUACUAAUUUGAUGAAGUUCAGAGCAUUCAUUUGCCCCUGGUUAGAAUAUUUUCUAAAAAAACAAAGAUUGAAAGUAAUGAGACUGUUUUCGGGGCAGGUGUGAGAUAAUUGAUUCUAGUCAGUCAGUCAGUCAGUCAGUCAGUCUAGACUAACCGAGAGAGUUGGUCUUCCUGACAACACUAAGAGCCAACACAGGCUCUUUGUUAAAGGCCUUUCUUGUCCUUUUAGGAACUUCACCCCGAUGAGAUAGACACCGACUCUGCCUACAUCCUUUUCUAUGAGCAGCAGGGGAUAGACUGUGCACAAUUUCUGCCAAAGAUAGAUGGCAAGAAGAUGGCAGACACAAGCAGCAUGGAUGAAGACUUUGAAUCUGACUACAAGAAGUACUGUGUGCUACAGUAAAGCUACACAUGGGCUGCUAGGUGGGCUGCUGGGAAGGGAGGUGACUCCUUGUAGCUGGCAUUUGGCAGAAUUGUCCCUGAAAAGCAGGCUAAGUGUAGUUAUUUUAUCCUGUGACCUGAAGCACAAAAUAAAAGUCCUAAUUAAAAUAGCAGUCAACUUUAAGAAUAGUAAUAAUUUUGUUUUGAAGUCUCUCACAAGCUGUGUGGUAGAGAACUUUAAGGCAGAUCCCACCAUUAGCCUGUAAACAAGAGGGUUUGGCACCAAUCACCUGGGACCAAUUAAGAAUUUAAUUGUGCUUGUCCAAAUAAUGAACAAACUUGUAGUGAGUAUAGAGUUUACCAGUAAUCAUAACAGGAUACUAAGGAUUUCCUUGGACUCAAAGUUAAAAAAAAAAACAACAAA